UUCUUAAGCUCCCAAUUAGGGACGGGAACGGCGACGGGGAACGCAGACUCUCAGGGAAAAUCCAAAUAAUAAUCUACGCAUGACUGGUGGGAAAAAGUUUGACGGUCUGCAUUCGGCCCCGACGUGAAACGAGUCACUUUGACGUUGGCUGAAAACACAGAAACGUCAAGACGCUGAUUGAGACCGGCAUCAUUUGACGAACGUGAAAGUGCUAAGUUGACGCAAAGUGGCUCCUUUCACAGAUUUGAACAAGAACGGAAAUGAGACUUAUUGUCGAACGUCCAUACAAAUAUUCUGUAUAUUAAGGGCCUUUCAACCAAUAAAAAUUUGU